AGAGUUUGAUCCUGGCUCAGGAUGAACGCUGGCGGCGUGCCUAACACAUGUAAGUCGUACGAUGAAGCUCGCUUUUAGUGAGUGGAUUAGUGGCGAACGGGUGAGUAACACGUAGGUGACCUGCCCCAGAGAGGAGAAUAACCAUGCGAAAGCGUGGCUAAUACUCCAUAAGGUCGGUUAUUCGAUUGGCCGAUUAAAGCUUAAGGCGCUCUGGGAGGGGCCUGCGGCCCAUCAGCUAGUUGGUAGGGUAAUGGCCUACCAAGGCGAUGACGGGUAGCUGGUCUGGGAGGACGAUCAGCCACAAUGGGACUGAAACACGGCCCAUACUCCUACGGGAGGCAGCAGUGAGGAAUAUUGGACAAUCAACGAAAGUUGGAUCCAGCAACGCCGCGUGGAUGAUGAAGGCCUUCGGGUUGUAAAAUCCUUUUAAGAGGGAAGAGUAAGGACGGUACCUCUUGAAUAAGUCUCGGCUAACUACGUGCCAGCAGCCGCGGUAACACGUAGGAGGCGAGCGUUAUCCGGAUUUAUUGGGCGUAAAGCGCGUGCAGGCGGCUAGGUAAGUCGGGUGUGAAAGCUCCGGACUCAAUUCGGAGAGGUCACUCGAUACUGCUUGGCUUGAGAGCGGGAGAGGGAAGCAGAAUUCUGGGUGUAGUGGUGAAAUGCGUAGAUAUCCAGAGGAAUACCAGUGGCGAAGGCGGCUUCCUGGCCCGUUUCUGACGCUGAGACGCGAAAGCGUGGGUAGCGAACGGAAUUAGAAACUCCGGUAGUCCACGCCGUAAACGAUGGGUACUAGGUGUGGGGAGUAUUAACCCUCUCCGUGCCGUAGCAAACGCGUUAAGUACCCCGCCUGCAGACUACGGCCGCAAGGCUAAAACGCAAAGGAAUUGACGGGGGCCCGCACAAGCAGCGGAGCGUGUGGUUCAAUUCGAAGAUACACGAAGAACCUUACCUGGGUUUGACAUGUUAGUAGUAGUGAAGCGAAAGCGGAACGAUCCUUCGGGAAGCUAUCACAGGUGCUGCAUGGCUGUCGUCAGCUCGUGCCGUGAGGUGUUGGGUUAAGUCCUGUAACGAGCGCAACCCUUACUGCCAGUUACAAGUGUCUGGCGGAACUGCCGGUGACAAAUCGGAGGAAGGUGAGGAUGACAUCAAGUCAGCAUGGCCUUUAUAUCCAGGGCUACACACACGCUACAAUGGCCGGCACAAUGGGUCGCCAAGCCGCGAGGCGGAGCUAAUCCUGAAAGUCGGUCUCAGUUCGGAUUGUAGGCUGCAACCCGCCUGCAUGAAGUUGGAGUUGCUAGUAACCGCGCGUCAGCAAUAGUGCGGUGAAUACGUUCCCGGGCCUUGUACACACCGCCCGUCACGUCAUGGGAGUCGAUAACACCUGAAGUCGGUGGGCUAACCUAACGGAGGCAGCUGUCGAAGGUGGGAUUGGCGACUGGGACGAAGUCGUAACAAGGUA
rnacentral:rRNA from 1 species